GAGUUUGAUCUUGGCUCAGGAUGAACGCUGGCGGCGUGCCUAAUACAUGCAAGUCGAGCGAACGGACGAGAAGCUUGCUUCUCUGAUGUUGGCGGCGGACGGGUGAGUAACACGUGGAUAACCUACCUAUAAGACUGGGAUAACUUCGGGAAACCGGAGCUAAUACCGGAUAAUAUUUUGAACCGCAUGGUUCAAAAGUGAAAGACGGUCUUGCUGUCACUUAUAGAUGGAUCCGCGCUGCAUUAGCUAGUUGGUAAGGUAACGGCUUACCAAGGCAACGAUGCAUAGCCGACCUGAGAGGGUGAUCGGCCACACUGGAACUGAGACACGGUCCAGACUCCUACGGGAGGCAGCAGUAGGGAAUCUUCCGCAAUGGGCGAAAGCCUGACGGAGCAACGCCGCGUGAGUGAUGAAGGUCUUCGGAUCGUAAAACUCUGUUAUUAGGGAAGGACAGUAUGUGUAAGUAACUAGUGCACAUCUUGACGGUACCUAAUCAGAAAGCCACGGCUAACUACGUCG
rnacentral:rRNA from 1 species